rnacentral:misc_RNA from 1 species
CCGAGUUUACAACUCCCAAACCCCUGUGAACAUACCUUUAUGUUGCCUCGGCGGAUCAGCCCGCGCCCCGUAAAACGGGACGGCCCGCCGCAGGAAACCCUAAACUCUGUUUUUAGUGGAACUUCUGAGUAUAAAAACAAAUAAAUCA